GAUGAACGCUGGCGGCGUGCCUAAUACAUGCAAGUCGAGCGAACAGACGAGGAGCUUGCUCCUCUGACGUUAGCGGCGGACGGGUGAGUAACACGUGGAUAACCUACCUAUAAGACUGGGAUAACUUCGGGAAACCGGAGCUAAUACCGGAUAAUAUAUUGAACCGCAUGGUUCAAUAGUGAAAGACGGUUUUGCUGUCACUUAUAGAUGGAUCCGCGCCGCAUUAGCUAGUUGGUAAGGUAACGGCUUACCAAGGCAACGAUGCGUAGCCGACCUGAGAGGGUGAUCGGCCACACUGGAACUGAGACACGGUCCAGACUCCUACGGGAGGCAGCAGUAGGGAAUCUUCCGCAAUGGGCGAAAGCCUGACGGAGCAACGCCGCGUGAGUGAUGAAGGUCUUCGGAUCGUAAAACUCUGUUAUUAGGGAAGAACAAAUGUGUAAGUAACUAUGCACGUCUUGACGGUACCUAAUCAGAAAGCCACGGCUAACUACGUGCCAGCAGCCGCGGUAAUACGUAGGUGGCAAGCGUUAUCCGGAAUUAUUGGGCGUAAAGCGCGCGUAGGCGGUUUUUUAAGUCUGAUGUGAAAGCCCACGGCUCAACCGUGGAGGGUCAUUGGAAACUGGAAAACUUGAGUGCAGAAGAGGAAAGUGGAAUUCCAUGUGUAGCGGUGAAAUGCGCAGAGAUAUGGAGGAACACCAGUGGCGAAAGCGACUUUCUGGUCUGUAACUGACGCUGAUGUGCGAAAGCGUGGGGAUCAAACAGG
rnacentral:rRNA from 1 species